GGCCAGCCCACUAAACCAGUCUAUCUCUAGAGUAGCCUCAAGCCUACAUAGAAAAGAAGAUAGUCGGGAGUCCUCUUCCUCAACGACUCCCGAUGGGAGUUGGAUUCCUGAGGCAGCUAGAGGCAAGCCUCCAUCUUUAGAAGGGCUCCCAUCCUCCUAAAAUCCUCCACCCCUUACCAGACUAUGGACCAGCCACCCCUUCCCUUUUUUUACCUAGAAGGAAACAGGAAAAAUAAAAGAAGA
rnacentral:lncRNA from 1 species